GGUGUAGCUAAGUGGUAAAGUGUGUGCUUAGCAUGCAUGAGGCCAGGGUUUAAUCCCCAGUACC
rnacentral:tRNA from 1 species